AACUAUAACGGUCCUAAGGUAGCGAAAUUCCUUGUCAGGUAAGUUCUGACCCGCACGAAAGGUGUAACGAUUUGAGCACUGUCUCGACAACACGCCCGGUGAAAUUGAAGAACCAGUGAAGAUACUGGUUACCCGCAACAGGACGGAAAGACCCCAUGGAGCUUUACUGCAGCCUGAUACUGGGAUUCGAUGAUAUAUGUACAGGAUAGGAGGGAGACUAGGAAUCCGGGACGCCAGUUUCGGAGGAGUCGACGGUGGGAUACCUCUCUUAUGUUAUUGGAUUUCUAACUUGGCACCGUGAUCCGGUGUGAGGACAAUGUCAGGCGGGCAGUUUGACUGGGGCGGUCGCCUCCGAAAGAGUAACGGAGGCGCCCAAAGGUUCCCUCAGCGCGGCCGGAAAUCGCGCGAAGAGUGUAAAGGCAGAAGGGAGCUUGACUGCGAGUCAAACACGACGAGCAGGUACGAAAGUAGGGCUUAGUGAUCCGGUGGUACCGAGUGGAAGGGCCAUCGCUCAACGGAUAAAAGCUACCCUGGGGAUAACAGGCUAAUCUCUCCCAAGAGUCCAUAUCGACGGGGAGGUUUGGCACCUCGAUGUCGGCUCAUCACAUCCUGGGGCUGAAGUCGGUCCCAAGGGUUGGGCUGUUCGCCCAUUAAAGUGGUACGUGAGCUGGGUUCAGAACGUCGUGAGACAGUUCGGUCCCUAUCCAUCGCGGGCGCAAGAGAUUUGAAGGGGGCUGCUCCUAGUACGAGAGGACCGGAGUGGACGAACCGCUGGUGUACCAAUUAUCCCGCCAGGGGUACAGUUGGGUAGCUACGUUCGGAAAGGAUAAACGCUGAAAGCAUCUAAGCGUGAAACCAGCCUUAAGAUGAGAUCUCUCAUAGAGCAAUCUAGUAAGACACCUUAAAGAAGAUGAGGUUGAUAGGUCGGGAGUGUAAGUACAGCAAUGUAUUGAGCGGACCGAUACUAAUAUGUCGAGGGCUUGACUUA
rnacentral:rRNA from 1 species